ACAAACUUGGUCAUUUAGAGGAAGUAAAAGUCGUAACAAGGUUUCCGUAGGUGAACCUGCGGAAGGAUCAUUACAGAAAUAAACUUGAUGGAUUGUUGCUGGCUCCCCCGCGAGUAUCGUGCACGUCUGUCAUUUUUAUCUUUCCACCAUGUGCACUCCGCAUAGGUCUGACUUUGCUCUUGGGAAUUGCAAAUUCGCGUUUGCUCUCUCCCUAUUUUUCAGGCUCUAUGUUUUAUUCUUACACACACCAUGUAUGUUAACGAACGCAUGAAGGGCAUUCGUGCCUAUAAAACAAUAAUACAACUUUCAGCAACGGAUCUCUUGGCUCUCGCAUCGAUGAAGAACGCAGC
rnacentral:misc_RNA from 1 species